AAUCUCUUCAGAUUGCCUUAACAAACUGGCAACAAGAAUGCCAAAGGUCUGCAAGGCUGUAAUUGCUGCAAAUGGAGGAUUCUUUGGCAAAAUCAAUGUUUGACAGACACAAUUAUUAUUUCAAUUAAAAAUAAUUUUUUCUAACCUAAAAAAAAUCAUAAUCUAUAUUUCCUAUUCAAACUCAUUUCAUGGCUGUUUUCAUGGAAAACAAGCACAUUUCUAAGUGACCCCAAACUUUUGAACAACCCAUUUUGCCAUACGAAUCCCUUUCCCCUCUCCCCACUUCACAAUUUCAUUGAUGAUUUCUUUAAGCACAGGGGCCAGAUCCUGUGAAAAUGGCUGUUGAUCACUGAAAAUGAGGAAAUAUGCAGACACUCAAAUACAACGUGUCAAAAAGCACAGGGCCCACGAGCUCCAGUUGUUUGGCCGUCAGUCGAACCCCUAUCUCCAUGAUCUUCUCCUGUCCACACACAUGGAAUUCGGCCAUCGACCUCACGCAGCUGUUUUAUGGUGACAUCCUGAAGCUGUCCAUUCUCUGUCUGAGGCUCCAUGUCCUUCCUCCCCAGCUUAUUCUGCUGGUGAUGAACUAGCUGGCUGUGUCCUGUCGUUCUGUCACCCCGCCAGAGACACCCCUCUUUAUAUGGAUCCUCACCUCAUCCUGCUGCCCAUUUUACUGUCCUCUCCUACAUCCACUCAUCAACACACACAACUCCAUGGAGACACAGACAUGUCUUACUGGAAGGUGAAGGACAGGAGACAGAGC
ensembl:lncRNA